rnacentral:rRNA from 1 species
AGCAGCCGCGGUAAUUCCAGCUCCAAUAGCGUAUAUUAAAGUUGUUGCAGUUAAAAAGCUCGUAGUUGAAUUUCGGGGUCAGUAGGUCGGUCGUGCCACUGGUAUGAACUGGUUUUACUGAUUCCUCCCUCUUGAAGAACUGUAAUGCCAUUAAUUUGGUGUUGCAGGGAAUCAGGACUGUUACUUUAGAAAAAAUUAGAGUGUUUAAAGCAAGCUAACGCUUGAAUACAUUAGCAUGGAAUAA